GUAGGAUUUCUUAGUUAAAAAAAUUAAAACUCAAAUCUCAUAGUUUUAGGUGAUAUUCUAGAGUAGUUUAACAAAAAUCACUUAAAUCUCUGCAACUUAUUGAAAUCAUCUAAAACCCCAUUAAAAAUCAAAUCACAUCAAUUGUUAAAUUGAAUACAUCCCCCUAAUAUCGUUUGGACAGCUUGUUACUGAUAACUAUAUGGUGGGGCAAGUAACUGAUAAACUCAUAAUUUUGCAGGACCGAGCUUCGAGGAUGCUGAUUGGAGCGGGUGAAAGAGAGGGAGAGGGGUUGUACCGGUUUCGAGGACUUGAGAUCGUGACUUCUC
rnacentral:lncRNA from 1 species